GUGGCUUGUAAAGGCUGCUGGAGGUAUCAGAAGUGCGAAUGCUGACAUGAGUAGCGAUAAAGGGAGUGAAAAGCUCCCUCGCCGUAAGUCCAAGGUUUCCUGCGCAACGUUCAUCGGCGCAGGGUGAGUCGGCCCCUAAGGUGAGGCAGAGAUGCGUAGCUGAUGGGAAGUAGGUUAAUAUUCCUACACCGACAUUAAAUGCGAAGGGGGGACGGAUAGCGGAAUGCGAGCGGGUGAUUGGUUGUACCCGUAGUUGGUACUAAGAAGGUGGUUAGGCAAAUCCGGCCACGUAAUUCAAGGUAUUGAUGCGAAGGGGUCUUGUACCCCGAAGUCGUAGGAAGGUGUCCCAGGAAAAGCCUCUAAGCUCUAGUUUAAUGUUGACCGUACCGCAAACCGACACAGGUGGACGGGAUGAAUAUUCCAAGGCGCUUGAGAGAACUCAGGAGAAGGAACUCGGCAAAUUGAUACCGUAACUUCGGGAGAAGGUAUGCCCUGUUAGCGUGUUAAAGCGCGAGAGGGUCGCAGAGAAUAGGUGGCUGCGACUGUUUAUUAAAAACACAGCACUCUGCAAACACGAAAGUGGACGUAUAGGGUGUGACGCCUGCCCGGUGCUGGAAGGUUAAGUGAUGGGGUGCAAGCUCUUGAUCGAAGCCCCAGUAAACGGCGGCCGUAACUAUAACGGUCCUAAGGUAGCGAAAUUCCUUGUCGGGUAAGUUCCGACCUGCACGAAUGGCGUAACGAUGGCCACACUGUCUCCUCCUGAGACUCAGCGAAGUUGAAGUGUUUGUGAUGAUGCAAUCUCCCCGCGGCUAGACGGAAAGACCCCAUGAACCUUUACUGUAGCUUUACAUUGGAUUGUGAACCGGCCUGUGUAGGAUAGGUGGGAGGCGCUGAAGGUAGGACGCUAGUUUUACUGGAGCCGUCCUUGAAAUACCACCCUGGUUUGUUUGCGGUUCUAACCUAGGCCCGUGAUCCGGGUUGGGGACAGUGUAUGGUGGGCAGUUUGACUGGGGCGGUCUCCUCCCAAAGUGUAACGGAGGAGUUCGAAGGUACGCUAGGUACGGUCGGAAAUCGUGCUGAUAGUGCAUUGGCAUAAGCGUGCUUGACUGUGAGACUGACAAGUCGAACAGGUGCGAAAGCAGGACAAAGUGAUCCGGUGGUUCUGAAUGGAAGGGCCAUCGCUCAACGGAUAAAAGGUACUCUGGGGAUAACAGGCUGAUACCGCCCAAGAGUUCAUAUCGACGGCGGUGUUUGGCACCUCGAUGUCGGCUCAUCUCAUCCUGGGGCUGUAGCCGGUCCCAAGGGUAUGGCUGUUCGCCAUUUAAAGAGGUACGUGAGCUGGGUUUAAAACGUCGUGAGACAGUUUGGUCCCUAUCUGCCGUGGGCGUUGGAUACUUGACGGAGGCUGCUCCUAGUACGAGAGGACCGGAGUGGACGUACCGCUGGUGUAUCGGUUGUCAUGCCAAUGGCAUUGCCGAGUAGCUAAGUACGGAAGAGAUAACCGCUGAAGGCAUCUAAGCGGGAAACUCGUCUGAAGAUAAGGUAUCCCGGGAGUUUAACUCCCCUAAAGGGUCGUUCGAGACCAGGACGUUGAUAGGCUGGGUGUGGAAGUGCAGUAAUGCAUGUAGCUAACCAGUACUAAUUGCCCGUGCGGCUUGAUCCUAUAACUUUA
rnacentral:rRNA from 1 species